GCAAGUCGAAGGAGAAGCCGGACUUCGGUCCGGUGGAAACUGGCGCACGGGUGAGUAACGCGUGGGUAUCUACCUUGGGGUGGGGAAUAACCGCUGGAAACGGCGGCUAAUACCGCAUACGCCUUUAGAGGGAAAGCUCCGGCGCCCUGAGAGGAGCCCGCGUUGGAUUAGCUUGUUGGUGGGGUAAUGGCCUACCAAGGCUACGAUCUAUAGCUGGUCUGAGAGGAUGAUCAGCCACACUGGGACUGAGACACGGCCCAGACUCCUACGGGAGGCAGCAGUGGGGAAUAUUGGACAAUGGGCGCAAGCCUGAUCCAGCCAUGCCGCGUGAGUGAAGAAGGCCUUAGGGUUGUAAAGCUCUUUCACCUGCGAAGAUGAUGACGGUAGCAGGAGAAGAAGCCCCGGCUAACUCCGUGCCAGCAGCCGCGGUAAUACGGAGGGGGCUAGCGUUGUUCGGAUUUACUGGGCGUAAAGGGCGCGUAGGCGGUAUGUCAUGUCAGGGGUGAAAGGCCUGGGCUCAACCCAGGAACUGCCUUUGAAACUGGCAAACUAGAGUCCGAUAGAGGAUGGCGG
rnacentral:rRNA from 1 species